UUUUUUCCGUGUUUCGAUUUUCCACAAGCCUUCUUUAGAUUUUGGUAAAAAUAAUCAACAAUAUUUUUGCUCAAAAAACACGUUCUUUUUUUCUUCCUCGUGCGGCACAAUGCUUCUUGGAAAUGGAAAAAAGAAAUAUCUUUUUUCCUUCCUCAACCACACGAUUUUGCUUCUGUGAGAGGUACACAUGUUUAUUUCGAAAACAAUUUUUUUGAAUUCCUCGGGGGAUAUGGUUAUGCUUUCGCAAGAGGCACGGUUAUGCUUCAGAAACGACAAAAACUCAUUUUUUUUUCUGUGAAAGGCACGGUUUUUUCAUGAAAGAAAUAGUUCGUAAAAAUUUAUCGACAUGUGGUCUAGUUUUAAACGUCUCGAUGCAAGAAGUCCAACGUUGAAAAUGGUUUAUGAUUUGAACGCAUUUUUUAAGAGAUAAAACAUUUCGAAAUAAUGGAUUCACGAAAAAGGAAAAACUUCCAGGUUGCGUGAAGUGGCAUAAUGCAGUGCGCCACUUCUCGCAUUCUGGGGAGGUGGAAGUGACCUUUAAAUGAGGUACUCCUCAAUUAAUGAUUUGAAAAAAGAAACUCACAGAAAAUGACACAAGAAUAAAGCAGCCGAAUAUGAUCCACACUGGGCUUUCAAAGUAAAAGCGCAAGCCCAACGCAGUUGUGUUAGAAAAAUAGAAGGGUCAAAUAUGAUCCAUACUGGGCUUUCAAAGUAAAAGCAUAUGCCCGACUUAAGAUAGGCAAGAAAAUAUAGGGACCGAAUAUGAUCCACACCGGGGAGAUGAAAAUGACACA
rnacentral:lncRNA from 1 species